rnacentral:misc_RNA from 1 species
ACAGCGACUAGAGAGGGCGACACCGUCACUGCCCAGAUCAUGGGUCAUGGGUCACCGGUCACAGGUCAUGUUCACGGCGGCAAGUGGAAGGUGAAGCUGCCCGCUGUGACAGAAGCCAGACCUUUCGUCAGCUCCAGCGAGGGACAGGUCACUCUCAACGACGUGCUCUUCGGUGACGUGUGGCUGUGCUCUGGGCAGAGCAACAUGGAGUCUCAAAUGAUGCAGGAUUCCAUCAAAAUGUCUCAGCUUCAAAAUCUACUCCAUGAUGCCCUAAUAGCCACAGAGAAUGUCCAGCAGUGUGCUAUUAUCCGGCGCAAGGACAACAUGGUUCGAGCUUCAUCGGUCGGUUUCAAUCCAUAUCAAGAUCAGAUACAGAUGCUUCAGGAUGCUUUCAAAAAUCCACCACAGACACGAGAGGAAGGCCUGUACUUUGAUGAUAAACAGUACAAAUGUGUUCGCGCUGACAAAAAUUCUAUUUAUGCAAAGUGUGGCAAAAAAGGACUGAUUCUGGUGAAAACUUUGUCUCUUCUUCUGGUGGCAACAUAUACAGAAAACAUGUUCCCAGGUGUAUGUGUAGAAGCUGUGGAGAAGCUGGCUGACUACUUCAAAGAGAAAGGAAAGUGACGAAAUGGAAUUCAUUUAAACAAUGAAACUUAACCAUCUCAUGGAUGAGUGACCAGACCAGUGGUAUGGUCCAUUUUCUUUGGGUCUUCGCCACCUCACCCACCCACUAGUUUACAUUCUGGAUCUACACGAGUCAAGAAGUGCAGAGUUGAUUUUCUGAUCUCUUACCUACAGUCCUGCCUCCUACAUCUAUUUUCUUCACUGCCACUGUGUUGAUGCAACCUCCGUGAUAGUUAUAUGUGCGCCAUCAAUGAACAACUUCAUGUUAGUUGUGCUAAUAUUCCUACUGAUACUACAGCCACAAAUCACAGCUGCAAGUUGUGAUGGCAUUCACCUUAAAAACACAAUAAACUCUUUGUUUUCAGACUAUUAUUAUGUCUGUGUGUUUUCUUCUCUGUAAUACAGGUUGCUCGAGUGCUCAGACUUUUCCAGCAGUCAGCAUAUAUAUCCUACAAAAUUUUACUCUUACUACAUUCUUAUUUCUUAUUAUAUGAUUUACCGCUUAUUUUAAAUCAUCUUUGAUAAUAUUAUCUGCAUGCCAUUCAUCACUAAAUGAUGAACAUUUGAAGCAGGUCUUUUAGUAAUGGCUUUUAAUGAUUACAUGGAUCUGUUGAUACAGUGAGAAAGGCUGUACUCUUCCAGACCUGCAAAUGUGGCAUGUACAUAAAGUGAUGUUUAUUUUUCUUUGCAUUAUCUGCAUUUUGUCUACAAUUUUCCAGUGCCUUAACAA